rnacentral:rRNA from 1 species
AUGGAAGGGCAAGGGGAAUUUAAGCCUGGUGAGACCAAGGAUGGGAGGCCCUGCUUGGUUUGCACGGUUAAAUUCACGCUUGUUGUCCCGGAUGACGACGACGUUGAUAGAUGGAUCCUGGAUAAGACAUUACCGAUGCAGGAUGCGAUCACUCUGCACGAUGAUUGUGCUCUCAAUGUUGUGGCGAUUAUCGGUGGUUUGGUGUAUUUUUCUACUUCUUGUGAGACGCAUUCGAAUUCUUGCUUUUUCAUGUCCUUCUGCCUUGAAACAGAGGAGCUGAAUAAGCUCUGCCCUGUCACUCCCUACCCUAUUCGUUCCUAUCCGUACAUCAUGGCGUUCCCUCCUUCAUUGAUAUGUAAUAAGGUGAACCCUCAACCUGAAGGAGCUUGA